rnacentral:rRNA from 1 species
GGAGGGUGGGUGGGAGGAUGCGCGGGAAGACAGAGGUCCCGAAGGUUGUUCUGAUUUGCGGGGCGUAACGGGUGAGUAGGUGGUGGGGGAAGUCGGAGGUGAAAGCUCCGAGGGAAACUCGGAAAUGGCAUUGGAAGCGACCGUGCUGGAGGGGCGGAGGGGGGACUGGAAUUCUCGGUGUAGCAGUGAAAUGCGUAGAUAUCGAGAGGAACACCAGUGGCGAAGGCGAGUCCCUGGACGACUCCUGACACUGAGGCACGAAAGCUAGGGGAGCAAACAGGAUUAGAUACCCCAGUAGUC